rnacentral:tRNA from 1 species
GAUUUCGUAGCUCAAUGGUAGAGCGUUGGCCUGUUAAGCCAAUAGUUGAAAGUUCGAAUCUUUCUGGAAUCGCAA